UCUAGUGACCGAUAGUGAACCAGUACCGUGAGGGAAAGGUGAAAAGUACCCCGGAAGGGGAGUGAAAGAGAACUUGAAACCGUGUGCUUACAAGUAGUCAGAGCCCGUUAAUGGGUGAUGGCGUGCCUUUUGUAGAAUGAACCGGCGAGUUACGAUUUGAUGCAAGGUUAAGCAGCUAAUGUGGAGCCGUAGCGAAAGCGAGUCUGAAUAGGGCGUUUAGUAUUUGGUCGUAGACCCGAAACCAGGUGAUCUACCCUUGGUCAGGUUGAAGUUCAGGUAACACUGAAUGGAGGACCGAACCGACUUACGUUGAAAAGUGAGCGGAUGAACUGAGGGUAGCGGAGAAAUUCCAAUCGAACUUGGAGAUAGCUGGUUCUCUCCGAAAUAGCUUUAGGGCUAGCCUCAAGUGAUGAUUAUUGGAGGUAGAGCACUGUUUGGACGAGGGGCCCUUCUCGGGUUACCGAAUUCAGACAAACUCCGAAUGCCAAUCAAUUUAACUUGGGAGUCAGAACAUGGGUGAUAAGGUCCGUGUUCGAAAGGGAAACAGCCCAGACCACCAGCUAAGGUCCCAAAAUAUAUGUUAAGUGGAAAAGGAUGUGGCGUUGCCCAGACAACUAGGAUGUUGGCUUAGAAGCAGCCAUCAUUUAAAGAGUGCGUAAUAGCUCACUAGUCGAGUGACACUGCGCCGAAAAUGUACCGGGGCUAAACAUAUUACCGAAGCUGUGGAUUGUCCGUAGGACAAUGGUAGGAGAGCGUUCUAAGGGCGUCGAAGCAUGAUCGCAAGGACAUGUGGAGCGCUUAGAAGUGAGAAUGCCGGUGUGAGUAGCGAAAGACGGGUGAGAAUCCCGUCCACCGAUUGACUAAGGUUUCCAGAGGAAGGCUCGUCCGCUCUGGGUUAGUCGGGUCCUAAGCUGAGGCCGACAGGCGUAGGCGAUGGAUAACAGGUUGAUAUUCCUGUACCACCUAGUAUCGUUUUAAUCGAUGGGGGGACGCAGUAGGAUAGGCGAAGCGUGCUAUUGGAUUGCACGUCCAAGCAGUAAGACUGAGUGUUAGGCAAAUCCGGCACUCAUAAGGUCAAGCUGUGAUGGGGAGAGGAAAUUGUUUCCUCGAGUCGUUGAUUUCACACUGCCAAGAAAAGCCUCUAGAUAGAUAACAGGUGCCCGUACCGCAAACCGACACAGGUAGUCAAGAUGAGAAUUCUAAGGUGAGCGAGCGAACUCUCGUUAAGGAACUCGGCAAAAUGACCCCGUAACUUCGGGAGAAGGGGUGCUCUUUAGGGUUAACGCCCAGAAGAGCCGCAGUGAAUAGGCCCAAGCGACUGUUUAUCAAAAACACAGGUCUCUGCUAAACCGUAAGGUGAUGUAUAGGGGCUGACGCCUGCCCGGUGCUGGAAGGUUAAGAGGAGUAGUUAGCUUCUGCGAAGCUACGAAUCGAAGCCCCAGUAAACGGCGGCCGUAACUAUAACGGUCCUAAGGUAGCGAAAUUCCUUGUCGGGUAAGUUCCGACCCGCACGAAAGGCGUAACGAUUUGGGCACUGUCUCAACGAGAGACUCGGUGAAAUCAUAGUACCUGUGAAGAUGCAGGUUACCCGCGACAGGACGGAAAGACCCCGUGGAGCUUUACUGUAGCCUGAUAUUGAAAUUCGGCACAGCUUGUACAGGAUAGGUAGGAGCCUUUGAAACGUGAGCGCUAGCUUACGUGGAGGCAUUGGUGGGAUACUACCCUAGCUGUGUUGGCUUUCUAACCCGCACCACUUAUCGUGGUGGGAGACAGUGUCAGGUGGGCAGUUUGACUGGGGCGGUCGCCUCCUAAAAGGUAACGGAGGCGCUCAAAGGUUCCCUCAGAAUGGUUGGAAAUCAUUCAUAGAGUGUAAAGGCAUAAGGGAGCUUGACUGCGAGACUUACAAGUCGAGCAGGGUCGAAAGACGGACUUAGUGAUCCGGUGGUUCCGCAUGGAAGGGCCAUCGCUCAACGGAUAAAAGCUACCCCGGGGAUAACAGGCUUAUCUCCCCCAAGAGUUCACAUCGACGGGGAGGUUUGGCACCUCGAUGUCGGCUCAUCGCAUCCUGGGGCUGUAGUCGGUCCCAAGGGUUGGGCUGUUCGCCCAUUAAAGCGGUACGCGAGCUGGGUUCAGAACGUCGUGAGACAGUUCGGUCCCUAUCCGUCGUGGGCGUAGGAAAUUUGAGAGGAGCUGUCCUUAGUACGAGAGGACCGGGAUGGACAUACCUCUGGUGUACCAGUUGUCGUGCCAACGGCAUAGCUGGGUAGCUAUGUAUGGACGGGAUAAGUGCUGAAAGCAUCUAAGCAUGAAGCCCCCCUCAAGAUGAGAUUUCCCAACUUCGGUUAUAAGAUCCCUCAAAGAUGAUGAGGUUAAUAGGUUCGAGGUGGAAGCGUGGUGACACGUGGAGCUGACGAAUACUAAUCGAUCGAAGACUUAAUCAA
rnacentral:rRNA from 1 species